GACGAACGCUGGCGGCGUGCUUAACACAUGCAAGUCGAACGGAAAGGCCCUGCUUUUGUGGGGUGCUCGAGUGGCGAACGGGUGAGUAACACGUGAGUAACUUGCCCUUGACUUUGGGAUAACUUCAGGAAACUGGGGCUAAUACCGGAUAGGAGCUCCUGCUGCAUGGUGGGGGUUGGAAAGUUUCGGCGGUUGGGGAUGGACUCGCGGCUUAUCAGCUUGUUGGUGGGGUAGUGGCUUACCAGGGCUUUGACGGGUAGCCGGCCUGAGAGGGUGACCGGCCACAUUGGGACUGAGAUACGGCCCAGACUCCUACGGGAGGCAGCAGUGGGGAAUAUUGCACAAUGGGCGGAAGCCUGAUGCAGCAACGCCGCGUGCGGGAUGACGGCCUUCGGGUUGUAAACCGCUUUCGCCUGUGACGAAGCGUGAGUGACGGUAAUGGGUAAAGAAGCACCGGCUAACUACGUG
rnacentral:rRNA from 1 species